AUUGAACGCUGGCGGCAGGCCUAACACAUGCAAGUCGAGCGGAUGAAGGGAGCUUGCUCCUGGAUUCAGCGGCGGACGGGUGAGUAAUGCCUAGGAAUCUGCCUGGUAGUGGGGGAUCACGUCCGGAAACGGGCGCUAAUACCGCAUCCGUCUUGAGGGAGAAAGUGGGGGAUCUUCGGACCUCACGCUAUCAGAUGAGCCUAGGUCGGAUUAGCUAGUUGGUGGGGUAAAGGCCUACCAAGGCGACGAUCCGUAACUGGUCUGAGAGGAUGAUCAGUCACACUGGAACUGAGACACGGUCCAGACCCCUACGGGAGGCAGCAGUGGGGAAUAUUGGACAAUGGGCGAAAGCCUGAUCCAGCCAUGCCGCGUGUGUGAAGAAGGUCUGCGGAUUGUAAAGCACUUUAAGUUGGGAGGAAGGGCAGUAAGUUAAUACCUUGCUGUUUGGACGUUACCAACAGAAUAAGCACCGGCUAACUUCGU
rnacentral:rRNA from 1 species